ACCGGCGCACGGGUGAGUAACGCGUAUCCAACCUGCCCAUGUCUGGGGAAUAACCCGUCGAAAGGCGGACUAACUCCCCAUGGACAUGGAUGGGGAUGCGUCUGAUUAGGUAGUAGGCGGGGUAACGGCCCACCUAGCCUACGAUCAGUAGGGGUUCUGAGAGGAAGGUCCCCCACAUUGGAACUGAGACACGGUCCAAACUCCUACGGGAGGCAGCAGUGAGGAAUAUUGGUCAAUGGACGAGAGUCUGAACCAGCCAAGUAGCGUGCAGGAUGACGGCCUAUGGGUUGUAAACUGCUUUUGCACGGGGAUAGGUACCGCGCGAAUAAGGACCGGCUAAUUCCGUGCCAGCAGCCGCGGUAAUACGGAAGGUCCGGGCGUUAUCCGGAUUUAUUGGGUUUAAAGGGAGCGUAGGCCGUGAGGUAAGCGUGUUGUGAAAUGUAGGCGCCCAACGUCUGCACUGCAGCGCGAACUGCCCCACUUGAGUGCGCGCAACGCCGGCGGAACUCGUCGUGUAGCGGUGAAAUGCUUAGAUAUGACGAAGAACCCCGAUUGCGAAGGCAGCUGGCGGGAGCGUAACUGACGCUGAAGCUCGAAAGCGCGGGUAUCGAAC
rnacentral:rRNA from 1 species